UGGCGGGUCUUUGAAUUAACCUAUAUAAAGUAAAUAGAUGCAAAACAAUUCAUUAACAUUCCUUGAGUAAACAUGAUUUCAUCAAAUAAGGAUAAUGUGUUCUUGGAGACUGCUGAAUUGGCAUGUUUCUAAUGCUUUGAAUGAACAUGAUUAAGUUGUGUCUGGGGUGGCCUCCAGUCCUGAGGUGGCGCUAGUGCACCACUUUCUAAGACAAGAAGAAGCCGGAAAGUUUCAAGCCAGAGAAUCGUUCGCCUCAGUCAGCCCGGUCCUACUCUUCAGUCUCAUCUCGCUGGAAUAGUGUUGUCAUGUGUGAAGAUAUACACGAAAUUGAGACUUCUGCUGCACUGUUCGAAGUCUGUAAGAUCAGUGCUGAAUUCAAAAGAAUAACCACAGUUCCCCUGCAAUCCAAGCAACUGUUGCUGAAUUGGCUGAUUUGUACAAGAUGCACCAUUUCUGAGGACUUCUGGCACAGUGGCCUGCACUGUUCAAAGUUUGCAAGGUAAGACAUUCAAUUCGGAUUGUCUUAAAUGUUUUGAUUUGUGAAUUACAGCAUUUUAUCUCCUUUCUUGAAUGUGUGUGUGGCUUUCUCCUAAUGUUAAUGAUUUGAUUGUUAAAUCCUUUGGGCUCUUUAUGUCUUUUCAGAUCAGUGCUGAAUUGAAAAGAAUCACCACAGUCCCACUGCAAUGCCCUGCACUGUUCCAAGUCCACAAGGUCAUGGAUGAAGUUGCCGUAGACGCAGCAAUUGAAGACAUCACUAUUGGAAUCUGCUCUGACAGAAGAUUGGGCAUCCCACCCAAAGGACAUUGUCAGUUUUAGUGUAUGUCUGUCACACACG